UUUUUUUUUUUUUUUUUGUUGAAUUGAUUUCAAACUAGAAGUCUAAAUGCCUCAUAAUGUAUAAGACUGUAUAGUAAUCAGUAGUUUUUAUCUCUUAAACGCUUCAAAGUUGAAAAUUUUUAAAAACGAAGCAACUAGCAAGAAGAAAAGAGAAUAUUCCAAAAAUUUCAAAAGCAUGAUGAUUCUCUUGACUUUUCAGAUGAAUACUAGGAAACAAGACAUCUAUAAGUUGGGAAGAAACAAAAAUAAGUUUUAAAAAAAUAGUUGGAGAGGGAGCAAGCCAGUAGAUGUAUUCAGUAAGUGAAGUGCAACGAACAUUAGUUUGAAUAAAUUCUGAUUACAUUCUUUAAGAUAGUCCUUUUUAAUUACAUUCUUCACUAGUUUCUUAAAUUGAUGGAUUGCAAAUAUUGUAUGCAAUUAUAAAUAAUUCAACAAUGUUAGCAAAAUAGAUUCUAAACAAUCGAAUAUAACCAAUAUUGUAUGUAUACCUUUACUUAAUCCAUCUAAUCUAAAUGACCGAACUCCUAAAUCCUAAUCGUAUUUCAUUAUGACAUAAGAUAACUCCUAUUUGAUUUGCACUGCAUUCUUAUUGGUUGCUCUAUUCUAUUGCCAAUUAAUUACUACUCUAAAUUACCCGUCACAAACAAUCAGGUAGGUACAAUUUAAUCCCAUAAAAGUUGAGAAUAGUUUUAAAGUUUUAAUUAUUACUGCAAUAAAACAACCAAUAAAUUUUAUUUUCGAUUUUAGGGCAUUUUGUUCUUUUUGGAUGAUUACAUAUCUUUCCAGCUUUUAUACAAAGCAAACAACAAAAGCACUCCAAAACAAGUAUCAAGUACAAAACACUAACCCGCCGUUCUCGGGUGUUACAUUUAAAAUUUAACUUCACAUCACCAGCAUGUAUAAUUGAUACUUGCUUAUGGUUAAUUUUCUGAUUUUUUUUAAGGGAAUAUGCUCCCAUAAUUUUUAAUAGUAUUGGAAAACUAUAAUUCUUGGACAAUAGAGAGCUACUCCCUCCGUCCCGUUUUGUUAGUCUUGGUUUUUUUUUUCACACAGAUUAAGAAAGUGUAAUUAAUUUGGUUGGAAACAUAAAUUUAGAUUAAUAAUUUCCUAAAAUACCCUUAUGCUAAUUACGAAGAGUCAAUUAAUAUCAGUUACAACUAAUGGUGCCAAUAAAUAUCAGUUACCGCCAAUAGUGCACCCUGAUUGUUUCAAUUACCGCCAAUAGUGCCAAUAAAUAACAAAGAUAAACUUUUCAUUUAUCUAUGUAUUGGAAAAGCUCAAAUGUAUUCAAUGUAGUGGGUUAGUAUUUAAUAACAAUGUAUUAAUAACAAGAUAUUUAAUAAGGGUAUUUUAGACAAUUUGAAAGAUUACUACAUUUCUUAAUGGGAAAGUGGACUACAAUUUGGGACAGACAAAAAAGGAAAACAAGACUAACAAAACGGGACGGAGGGAGUAUUACAUGAACAAUUUUAGAAGGUGCACACAGAAAAGUUAAAGGGACUAAAAUUUAUUUGAGCAAUUUCUACACGAACAUAUUAGGAAUAUUCAUGUUAUUUUCAAUUGAAUUUUUGUAAUUAUGUUGUUGCUAUUAUUCCUUCUCAUCAUAAUAAGCUUAAAUUCAAAAGGUGUAAUAGAAAACUAAAAAGAUGAUUAAAAUUAAUCUAAGCCAUUACUGCAUGAACAUAUUAGAAAUAGUUAUAGUAUUUUAAAUUGGAACCAUACUAACUUUACAUGUUUUUAUCUAUUUAACUUUGUAAAAAACUUGAAGAGAAUUUCUCGGUCUUGAUUUAGUAGUAUUUUUUUUAGUUACAUUAUUGUUAUUGAUCCUUUUUUAUCAUGAUGAAUUUUAGGCUUUUUUUUCUUCACUUUAUUGUCCUCGACUUCUAAAAUUUUGAACAAAAAUGCUCUAUGUUUUUAGACCUGAAAGUUUAAUUGCUCCAAAUUUCCUUUUUUUUUUAAGUAUUUAAAGAAAUGACGUAUCUAUACAAUUUCAAUGAUUGAAAUACUUGGUCAUCCUUCAUAUGUAUACUUACCAAUUUAGAUGCAAGAGUGUAGCCUUAUUCUAUCAACGGCUAAACUGAAUUCAAUUGCCUGAUCUUUUGUUUGUUCAAUUCUACAAUUUCUUUCAAAUUAUAAGAAAUUAUUAGGCAAAGAAGUUAAUGGUCUUGGUUUAUAAGUUUUGAGGCUCUAUGCCUCAUUUGUUGCCCAUAUUUGAGGUGUUAUCACUUUAGGUAAUCUAAUUUUAGAUUGGAUCUCUAUUGAUUUUACUGAAAUAGUUGAGAAAAAUUUCCAUUCUUGGUAUGAUGGUAUUUAUGGUAUUUAAAGAAGGACGGAGCUCUUCUUCAUAACCCUAAUUCCAGAAAUCAUUACCUAAAUUAAUCAUUCCAAAAAUGGCUUCUGCCCCGCUAUUGUCAAGGGUUCUCCGGGUGUAUCGUGCCGCCAAGAAAGCUGCCACAAAAGCUGGUAAGACCUAUCUCGCCGCCGUGAAGGAAGUUGACAAGAAAUACUGAUGUCUGCUGAAUUUUUCGAAGAUCGUGAUUAGAUCAAAAGCGGAUUUGGAGGUUGUUAUCAAGGUGAAGCGGGCCAAUCCGAAUUGGGAGGUGAAAGUUAAAGUUCCAACGAAAUACAAGGCCAAUGGCUAAGAUAAGCAGUCGGAACAAUGCCUCCGGGCAAUCGCUCGUGAGGCUGAAAUAGAGUUUGUGUCUAGAAAAGUUAGGGGAGGGUGAGGUUUUAGGAGAAUAUUAAGGAAAUGGGGUUAGGGUAUGGGGUAGUAGGGGGUAUGGGGUAGGAAGCAUCUUCUUGAUGCAUUUGACGAUGAUUUCAUAUUAAUACUUUCUGUCGUGUAAAAAUGCUAUCAUUAUCAAAUGCUUUCCUUUAAAAAAAAAAGAUGGUAUUUAAAGAAAAUAUUAUAAAUUUUCAUGUUUGGUAUUCUUACAUAUAUGCUUGUUAUACUUUAUAUCAAUCAAUUUAGUUAAAAAUGUUCAUUAACAAGUUGUCUUUACAUCAUUUUUCCUUUCUCAAGUUCAUUAAUCAUGCUCUUAUUUGUAUGUUGAGAUUAUUAUUAAAUUCAAUAAAGAAAUCACCUGCAACCAGUAGGAAGUCAUUUCUCAAGAUUGAAGUAUUAGCCCUACCAUACUAAUCGUAUAUAGAAAAAUACAAUCAUCCUUUCCAGAUAAGAAAAUAAUGUUAUACUAAAAAUGAGGAAAAAGAAAGACUAUUAGAGCAAUAAGUUUGAUUUUUGACCAAAUCAUCUAAAUUUGAUAUACAAACCAACAAAUCCCCGUUCCAUGAAGUUUAGAGAAAAACCAAGUUAAUUCACUUAGUAUCAGUUCAACUAUAUAUCACAUGCCAUGGUAGAAGGGAUUUAUUUUAAACAAAAAAAAAAGAGAAAAAACCAAUCUUUUAGAAAUCAUUUUAUAUACUCUUAAAAUAUUAAAAAUAGCCUUUGUCUCUCAAACAUUUUACAAAGUGAAAGAGAAUCACUUUGAAGUAUACAACUUUUAUGUCUAUGAUUUUAUCAAAUCUUUUAAAUUACAGCUCCUGGUUCUGCUAUUAGUUAUCAUAAUUGAAAGUAAAAGUUAUGUAUGGAGUAUACUAUUCUUAUGUAUACUAUUCUAAUUGAUUUUUCUGAUAAAUAUAGAAAGAGGGGACUUCCUAAAUUUGGUAAAUAAUCCUCUCUAAAUGUCAAUUGGAUUUGAACUUUGUUGAUUACUCUAUAUAUUUAGGACACUUUAUGCUUAUUGAGUGAAUUUAUGCACUAAUGAUUAGGUUACAAGUUAUUUAGAUUUCAAAAUAUUUAUUUAUGCUAUUUGUUUCUUGGUAAAUUCUCAGUUUUAAUUUUUUUAAAAUUUUUUUUAGCGAUAGAAUGAAGAAAAAAAAGCAUGGGGAUGGUGAGAAUGACAAUCUAAGUUACAUUUAGAGUCAAAUGCUUAUUUUCAUAUUAAAAAGAAAAAUCUGAAAAAGCAAUCUUUAUGGCAAUUAGCAUAAUUUAUAAGUGAAAAGUUAAAAAUGCUAAAUGAUUUGGUUGUCUCAAAACUAAAAAAGAUGCAGUCACAAGAAGAUGGAUUAGUUUAGACAUUUGAUUUUCUAAUAGCAAAGAUACUUAAAGUUGCCAUUUGAAAAUAUGGCGUAGAUAUGUUAAACUCCAUAAAGUUGGUUACAGAUGAUGCAAUAUCUUAACAAGGUAUAAGGUCAACCUCUCAUUAUUUCAACUUUCUACCUUAAAUAUGUUUCAUACAUAAAAGCAAGAAAAAACAUCUUCACAAAUGGAAGGUUAGUAUUUUCUACAUUCAUCAAUAGGAAAAAAAACUAUGAAAUUGUUUAGAAAAUUUUGUUUAAUUGACAUAUAUUUGCAUAUUCAUAUUGUUUCUCCUAUUAUAGAAAAAUUCCUUUCUUUCAAAGUUGAAACAUUUAUCGACUACAUGGCCUUACAUUUCUAUCUUGGGUAGGAUUUGCAAAUUUUAGUUGUGAUUGCUAUACAAAAAAAUGAGAAUAUUUUUUGUGAUUUUCUUUUUGAACUUGUUAGUUCAUUUUGCUAAUUUGCUAGAUUAUUUCAACUUUCUACCUUAAAUAUGUUUCAUACACAAAAGCAAGAAAAAACAUCUUCACAAAUGGAAGGUUAGUAGUUUCUACAUUCAUCAAUAGAAAAAAAAACUAUGAAAUUGUUUAGAAAAUUUUGUUUAAUUGACAUAUAUAGUUGCAAAUUUCUCCUAUUAUAGAAAAAUUCCUCUCUUUCAAAGUUGAAACAUUUGUCGACUACAUGGUCGUACUUUUCUGUAUUGGGUAGGAUUUGCAAAUUUUAGUUGUGAUUGCUAUACAAAAAAAUUAGAAUUUUUUUUGUGAUUUUCUUUUGAACUUGUUAGUUAAUUUUGCUAAUUUGCUAGAUUAUUUCAACUUGUAUCUAUAUAUGAAUUUGGAUUAGGCCUGUAAAGUAGACCAAAGUGUUAAUUCAGAUCUUGAAAGUGGAUUAGUCAUCUAGAUAGAAAACUUUGCUCUAGAUGAGCCUUUCCAUCAACUCAUUUUUGGUCAGUUACUUUAACCAAUUUUUAGUGGUGAUGUGAAAGCCUACUAAUUAUUUUGGCAGCUUUUGAAAGCAAUUAAUUUCCUACCUCAAUCUCCUCACUUUUGCAAAUCCCAAGUGCCCCCAUCUUGUACCCGAUGAAUUCUUAAUUAGAAAGUACUCCUCUUCAUCGUUCAUAUACCCGUGACCAACUAUCAGCACAUCAUGCUUGCUGAUCUUCUCCAUUUUUUCUUGGGUAAAUUUCCUUUUGACCCCCUAAACUAUACCCUGUUUCCCACUUCAAUCCCUAAACUUCUAAAUGGGACACUUAAGUCCCCAAACUACUGAAUCCGUCCCAAUUAAGUAUAACCGUUGACGGACUCGACAGAAUCAUCAGGGUUUUCGAGCGUGCAAAACAAGCACCGUUAGUGAGACUAGAUACGUCAUGAAAACUGAAAUAGCAAGGACAUAAUUGUAAUUUCGCUCGUUAGGUAUAAGGGGAAAAGAAAAUAGAGGGAAACAGCUUUGUUUCCAUCGUCUUCAUCGUGGAUUUGAACAGAGACAGAGAGAGAAAGAGAGAGAGAGAGAGAGAGAGAGAGAGAGGGUAUGAACGAAGUUAGCAGAUUUCUACUAAUCUAUACCCUUGACAUUCUUGUGACCGUGAGUUAGAGAUGACUGGCAUUGUAAAAUGGGAAAGUCAAGAUCGACAUUGAAGAGGGCUAAUGGAGAAAUGAGGUCGCCAGUGAAAAACAAGAAGAGAAAGGCCGUUCCCGGUAAGAGAAAUGAUAUUAAAAUGUCAUUGUUUGCUUGUUGGAUAAUAGCGUAUAUAGUAGUUGGGUUAUUGUGCUGUGUUGUCGGUUAGGUUUUGUAGUGAUAUUAUGUAAUGUAAAAAGGGCCAGAUUGACCUCUGUAUGUUAUACCCUGUUUGUGAACAAUUAUGGUAGACAAAAUUGUUUAAUGUCGAAUGUAUGGGCAAUUUGAUGAUUUGGGGUAUUUUUUAAGGAGGUAUUUUUUAAGGCAAUGUUUAUGCUGUCCAAACCGUAAUGUUCCCUGUAUUUCAGACAUUGUGGUCCCCGAUCCACUGUAAAAGGUGUAAAAAAAUUAAUUAUUGAAUUAAAAUUUUAUUUCUUUGAAUCAGGAAAUGGUGAUAGUGGAAUUUGGCCUGAAACUUUCUCCUUAAAGAUACACCAUCAAGGGACCUUUACAGACUCUCCUAACAAACAGUAUAUAGGGGGAUGGGUUGAUUUUAUAGAUAGAUGCAACCCAAAAAUGUGGUCAUUAGUAGCUCUAGACAAAUGUGGAGUCCGUCUUGGGUAUGAUGUAGAAGAUCGUUUUGGGUGGUAUUAUCUACUACCAGGGAUGACAUUGGAUACAGGCUUGGUCUUUUGUAUGUGUGAUAGGGAUUGUGAGAUGAUGGUGAACACAUUACCACCACAUAGGGUUGCGGAAGUGUUUCUUAGAGUUUUGUCACAAGGUUGUCCACAGGCUACAGCACCCUGUAGUCAAGCUAAGGGAGAUAAAGCCGAAAUGGAUAGAGACAGUGAUGUUAUAAUCAAAGACAAGGGUAUAGACACUGAUGAAGUGGAACAAGAUGGUAGAGAAAAUGUUGACAUUGAACCAGCAAAUUUAGACACUACAAAAGUGUGCACUAGCAACUGGACACCGAGAGUACCGAAUCUGUUUUCUAAAGGUUUAGACAGUAGUACUAGGCCAGAAGUAGAACCAGAAACUGCAGACAAGCAAGCAAAAAGUCUUGAUGUUGAACCAGAAAGUAUUGAAGUAGCACCAGAAACUGCAGACAAGCACGCAAAAGGUGCUGAUGUUGAACCAGAAAGUGAGGAAUUUUAUAGUGUUGCUGCUGAAAAUGAAGCAGAAUAUGAAGACGUGAAUAGCAAAGCGACUGAAACUGAAAAUUUGGUAGAAAAGAAAGCUGAUAAUAGGAGUGAUGCUGCAAAGGAACAAAAAGAUGUUGAAAGCCGUGAUGAAGCUUCAAAUGCACAAAUCAGAGAAGAAGAUGACCAAAGUAAAAACUGUAAUGAAAAUGCACAAAACACAGCCAGCAAUGAAGGUGGUGUAGGGGAAACAGAAUGUGAUGCUGCCAGACAAGAAGAGGAAGAAAAUGGAGUCAGUGUUGAUGAGAAGAUGACAGAUUCAGACUAUGAGAAUCAAGGGGGAGACAAUGACAUAUUAGAUGAAGCCAUCAAAAUUGGUCAAACAUUUGGAGGAGACCUAGGUGCACAUUCAGCUGGCCCUUCGCAUUGCAAUAAACUUGGUCUUUCUCAUUGCAGUGAGCAAAGAAAGAAGAAGGCAGGAAGGAAGAGAGACCCACCCAUUGAAAUUAACUGUUGUGAUGAUCCGGAUAUGAUUAACAUUGAUGACAUUGAAUCAGAAUAUGACUCGGAUGGUUCAUUUGAAUUGAAAAAUCAAAGUGAAUCCGAUGAAGAUGGGAAUAGUAAGACAAGGAGGCCUAGAUUUUCAGUUUUUAAUGAGCAAACAGACAUGAAGAAAUCAAAGUUUGAAGUUGGUCAGAAGUUCACAUCAGUCAUUAUAUUCAGGUUGACUGUAAGAAUCCAAGCAAUUAUGGAUGGGAGAGAUGUGUAUUUCAAGGAAAAUGAUACACGGAGGGUGAGAGUGAAAUGCAGAAGUUGUGACUGGCAGCUAUUUGGGUCUAAAAUGCAAGAUGAAAAUACCUUUCAGAUAAAAACACUUAGUGAUGAGUACACUUGUGGAAGAGUGUUCCACAAUAAAAACAUGACAUCUAGGUUGGCUAGCAAACUAUUUGUUGAUGAGGUAAGGAAAACGUCAUCUAUGACAGUGCAUGAGUUGAUAACCAAAAUAACUGAGGAGUUAAAUGUUGAUUUCAGCCUUAAGCAAGGGUAUAGAACACUUAAAAAAGUUAGAGACACUAUUCAGGGGUUCCAUUACAAACAGUACACCAUGUUAGAAUCAUUUUGUGGUGAAUUGAGGAGGGCAAAUCCGGGAUCUACUGUAUUUGUUGAAAUUGAUGUAGAUAAAGAUGGUGUUUCUAGGUUUAGAAGGCUGUAUAUGUGCUUAGAACCAAUAAAGAAAGGUUUUUUAGCUGGUUGUAGAAAGUGGAUUGGGUUAGAUGGUUGCUUCCUAAAAGGUCCAUUUGGUGGGCAGCUUUUGUCAGCAGUUGGAAUGGACGGUGAUAACAAAAUGUUUCCCUUGGCAAUGUCAGUUGUUGAAGUAGAGAAUUAUGAUAACUGGAGUUGGUUUUUAGGAUUGCUUGUACAAGAUUUAAAAAUUGAAGACUCUAGUUGCUGGUGCAUUAUGACUGACAAACAGAAGGUAGUAUUUAUUAAUUUGUUAUCCAUUAACUAUUUAUGUUAUACUAUUGCUAUUAAUGUGGCAUAUGUGAUUGUUGUGCUGUGUUGCACAGGGUCUACUUCAGGCUGUUAGGGACAAACUUCCACAAGCUGAGCAUAGGUAUUGUGUCCAACAUCUUUACACUAAUUUCAAGCAAAUGCAUAGAGGUCUUGCUCUUAAAGAUAGGCUUUGGAGAUGUGCAAGGGCUUCAUAUAUGACUCAGUUCAAAGCAGAAAUGGAGAUGAUGAAGCAAGAAUCAAAAGAUGCAUAUGCAUGGUUGGAUGAAAAGGACCCCAAUACUUGGUCAAGGGCUCAUUUCAAGACUGGAUUGGAUUGUGAUAUACUGGUUAAUAAUAUGUAUGAAUCUUUUAAUUCAAUUAUUUUAAAGGCACAAUCACUGCCUAUCAUAGGCAUGUUGCAAACUAUUUACUUAUAUUUGUUGAAGAGAAUGGAGAAGAAUAGAGAGACAAUGUCCAAACAUGAAGGUUAAGCUAUUUGCUUACUGUUUUUUAUCAGCAUUUCUUUCUAGUUACCCUAUGUUCAAUAUCUAAUUUGCCCUUUUAUUUGUCAGGUCUCUUAUGUCCAGCAAUUUUUGACAUUCUUGAGAAGGCCAAGAAAGAGCAAUGCAUGUGCAUCUGCUAUUACGCUGGCACAAUGAAGUAUCAAAUAUACUGUCCUUUUGAUGACUAGUUUGUCGUUGAUUUGGGGAGCAAGACCUGCACUUGUAGAAAAUGGCAACUGAGGGGAAUCCCAUGUGGCCAUGCAGUGGCUGCUAUUUAUAGGAGACGUGACAAGCCAGAAAAAAAUGUGGCACCCAUCUACUGGAAGAGUACAUACAUGAAGAGUUAUGAACCUGUGUUGAAUCCAAUCAAUGGACCUAAUCUGUGGGCCCUAGUAGAUUUACCACCAAUGAAGCCUCCAAAAUAUGGAAAAUCACCUGGAAGGCCAAAAAAGGUGAGGAAAAAGGGACCAGAUGAAGAUAGGAACAGGCAAUCAUGUGUGAAUCCAUCUAAACCUCACAAAGUUAGCAAGGUUGGCACUAAGAUGAGCUGUAGUCUGUGCAAGAAAUAUGGCCAUAAUAGGAGGAGCUGUCCUGAAAAAAAUCAACAAACUGCUCCAGUAGAAAAGGGAGGAGAUGGGCAUAUAGAUAAGGAAACUAGUGGGACCAGCACACAACAAAUAGAUGCCAUCAGAAAUAAAACAAGGCAUACCAGUACUGGUCCAACUACUUCUAAUAUCACUCACUUAAGUACACAAGAGAGCUGCACGGCUGCUCCUCAAAGUCUGGCUCAACAGAAAAUUGGUGGAGAACAACCAGUCAAGGGCACAAGAAAAUGCUCAUUUUGCAGGAAACUUGGCCAUUCAAAGAAAGGUUGCAAGCUGAGGCAAUGGACCUUUAGAAACUCACUGGACAUGACUGGAGAACUUGGACUCAACAGAGCUGCAACUAAUUCUCUGAUUAACCCAUAUGAGACAGCUUCAAACAAUAUUGAAUCUGGACAUGUAAGUGCUUUGAAAUUUCAAUUUUUAUGCUGUGUGAGAUGCGAAAAUGUUCACUCUCCUAUUAACUACUUCUUAUCUCGUGACAUGUAGUUGAACUCCAAUACUGGUGACAAAUUUUAUUCACACAGUCCAAGGAUAACAAUGAAACCAGCAGACUCAUACAUUGAUGAUAGGCAGACAGAAGAGCUUGGUUCAACUAGCCGUGUCACCGGACGACUUCAACCAACCCCCUUCAUUUGGAGGGGAAACAUGUGUGUAAAUCUGUCUACAUUGUAGGCAGCAGCAAGUCACGUGAAUCAUUCAACUACCAUUGCCAAUGUGCAGCUCCAUAGGAAUGCAAAUGAAGCUGCAAAGUUAGGAAAUUUAAAUCAGCCUCCAAAAUAGUUGUGUUUUGUAAAUGGCAAUGUGCAGCUCUAUGUUUAGCUGGGUUUUGUGAAUUUCUGUUGCUUUGUAGGGAGCUGAUGUUUUGUAAAUGGCAAAUGAUAUUGUUAAUGCUAAGAAAUUUCAGCUGUUGUUUUGUAAAUUUGUGAAACUUCUGGUCUUUUGGUGUAAGGCUAAACAUGCCUUCUUCUUAAAUGAUCAAAUUCAGUCCAUUUUCAAUUGCAUUUAUUGUGUCAAACAGUUGAUGGUGUUACAAAUGUUUGCAUGUGUAUCAUUCACUGACAAAAGUAGUUCAAUAAGUUGGGACACUUUAGUCCCUCAAUUACAUAAAACGGAUGAUUUAUAAACAAUACUUCAUUACAUAGGGACACUUAGGUCCCUAAAGUUCAAACAAAAGAGCAUGUCAGCCCCUACUGCUUCUUCAAGCAUAGCUACAUUACACCAGAAACCGCAGCUUAUACAUUACACCAGAGAGACAAAAUUACAUCUUUUCCAUCCCAAUUACAUAGCAUCAUUUUCCCUCUACUACAACGUUGCUUCUUUUCUCACAUAGAUGAACAUUUUCUUGUCAAACUCCAAUGAUGACCUUUAUGGCCCACAGUUGAACAAAAGGAUCCAUACAACAGCAACAACCCAGUGAACAAACAAGUACAUCUUCAGCCUUCUUCGUUUUGCUUCCUGCAGCUUUGAGUUCUCUUGCAACCUCUCAAUCUCAGCCUCCAAUUUGUUUUUUGUUCUUAUCAGUCCAGGGAUUAUAUCCUUCGACCUUUGACCCAAUCCCAGGAUCCACCCAAUCCCAAUACCUGCAUCCCUCCGAUUCCUGCAUUAACAACACCAUUGAGAGAGUAAAUACAAGUUUACUUAGGUGCAUUGCAUACAAAUCAAAACCAUAGGCGAAGAAAUGCAAACAGAUAUAAUGGGAAAUGGAAUCACCCUGUAAUUUGGACAUCGACAAAACCUUCUUCUUGGGUUUAAAUCAGUCCAUGAUGUCAUCAUCAAUGCUUGUUUUCCACAGUUGCAUGUGUCCCUAACCAUCUCUCCUUUGUCUUCUUUCUUUUCCUCAGAUUUUCGCCAGCUCUCAACUAAGAAGUUCUUACCCCUCAUUUCGGUAAGUAGGGCACAAUCGGUCCCUUUUAUGAAUUGGAUCGGGUCAAUUAUUUGACCCGAUUGUGCUUGAUAAAAGGAGGGAAACUUUCCCUCCUUUGUGCUAAAUACGGUUAUUUCUUUUUAUAUCUUUUCUCUGAAUUUCCAUCCCUACCCUUGGUCAGUGGCGCUUGUUUUGCACGCUCGGAAAACCCUGAUGAUUCUAUCGAGUCCGUCAACGGUUAUACUUAAUUGGGACGGAUUCAGUAGUUUGGGGACUUAAGUGUCCCAUUUAAAAGUUUAGGAAUUGAAGUGGAAAACAGAGUAUAGUUUAGGGGGUCAAAAGGGAAUUUACCCUUUUUUCUUCACUAGUCGAACCAUGAUAUACUUCCUUUUACAAAACGAGAAAAAGAAACAAUUAGAAGUAUGCACAUAACAUCCACAAAUCUAUGUAAUCAAAACCAUAUGAGAUUGUCACAUGAUCCCUGAGCUUCUUAAAAGAUUUAUGCGCUCACAAUAAGGGUGGACAAAAUUACCCGCUAAUUCGAAAAUCCGUCAUAUCUGAUUUGAUCAUCUGAAAAUUAGGAUAUCCAAUCUGUAUUAUUUGAUUGGCUCAAAAGAGGGUCGGGUACCCAUUUAGACGCGGGGUGGGUUAGGAUCACAUAAUUAAAAACCUGCGAGUACUCGACUCGUCCUGCAUUUAUAUUUUUUAUUUUUUACUUUUAUGCACAUACUAUAAAAUAAUAUUUUUAGAGCUAAAUAAACAAUUCCAUUGAACAAAUUGCAUUACAAAUAUGAGAGACUAUAAUUUAUUUACAAAAUUUAUUUGUAGAGGUUAUGAUCUUAUGUUUUAUAGAAAAGAGUUUAAUUAAUGUAGAACAUAAAUUUAAAAAAUGUGCUACUUAUUUCAAACUUUUAUUAAUUUUAAAUUCUUUUAAUUUUUUUUUUACUUUUUCUUAUAUUCUCUUCACAUGCUUGUUUCUUGGUGGGAGACUUUUUUGAAAAAAAAAAUUUGUAUUAAAUCUUAGAUGAAUGUGUAAAAUAUAAAAUUAAAUUAGUAUAAAUUAUUUUUUAAAAAUAUUAAAUGAUAAGUGGCAUAGGACGGGUACCUGUUGAUCUGACCCUAUCAUAUAGAAUACCCGCUAAUAUGCGGAGUGUAUAAGGGUUAGAAAAUAGCUGACUCGUAAAGUAUGCAUCGGGUCAUUCAAAUGGUGCAUAGGGUGGGUAUCCGACCCGUGCCCAUCCCUAGCUCACAAUACGCCAACCAAUGGCUACAAGUUCAACAUGUCAAGGAUAUGAUGGGCAGGUGUAAAAUCUUAGGAUUUACAUUUAACAAAGUCGCCAAUAAAAAUUUGUUUGCCUCUGUUUCAAAUAAUGGACAAAAGGUUUUACAAUAAAAUAUAUACAGUAAGUAUCUAAAUCACUUAACUCGUUAAAAAAAUAAUCUGAGCAAAGGCAACCUUAGGAAGCUUAGGUGGUUCCUCCUUGUUCUUCCUUCAUACACACUAUGUUCCUUGAGUAUUUGAAGUGCAUUGCUAGGAGUACUUGGUGAACAACCAGAUUUGUCGACAUAAAACGAUAGAGAAUGCUCAUACCGCUAGUGGAGAAAAUCCACAUAUUCCUGCUUAGAUAGGAAAAAGGGAUCUCCACCCUUAAUUACAUGCAAAGCUACUGCAGCAUCAGUAGAUGCCAAAGUAACACUCCUCUCUAAUAAAUGGACAAAUUGUGUUGCAUUCAUCUUUAAUAAAUAAUGUUGAACAUGAUAGUAGUUACAAAAAUAAAAGAUUUUUUACUUUUUAUUUACCAAAAGAAAGAAGAAUAAAUUUUAUUUACAAAAUCUAAAUUUAGAAAGUGCUUCUAACAUGAAUCAAAACACAAUAAAUUUGUACUACAAGUCUUUUAAAAAUUACCACAAGUCUUUUUAUUUUUUGGAUACAAGUAAAUUAAGCCUUAAUAGCACUUUUUAAUAUGUAUAUAGAAAUAUUGAGUAAAAAAACUUUAAUACAAAAUAUAAUAGGAAAUGGAGUAUCAAGGUAGGCAAAGAGUUUUAUGUUGGGAAUUUAUUUAUUUAAAUUACAAUAAAGAUUAAAUUUAAUUAAUUUUAUCAAUCAUAUUCUUGUAAUAGUAUUAAACUAAAAUUAAUGAAUAUUAUAUUCAUCAAUACCAAUCAUAAUAAUAAUUACAAAGGUGAAACAUCCCUUUGAGUUACGGUAAUUAAGCCAAAAUUUUUUUUUUUAUAAAAUAUCAUUUUCAAGGAGUACUUCAAAGAUGAAUAUAUAUAUAUAUAUAUAUAUCAAAUUUCAAUUCGACAGUUGUAUAAUAAAUAAUCUUAAUGUCUUACAAUUUUUAACCAUAUAAACUCUAAAUCAUAAAGCGUGUCAUCAGUGAGAAAUACAAAUAAAUUUCACCAAAUCAAAAUACUUCUUUUCAGGUUAAGCUAUUUAAAUUUGAACAAUGGAAUUUUAAUAUAUUUAGAUACUAUUAUAGUUACAAUAGCACUAAAGAUCAUUUUACAAUCCACCAUUACCAAAAAAAAUGAUAAUAAUUAGAAAAUCUCACUAAAACUAAUAAAAAAUUCAUAGAACAACUUAAACGGGAGCAACAAAUUAUUCAAAAAGUUAAAAAUUUAAACUCAAAUGGCAUAAAAAAGAACUUUCAAGUCAUCUAAAUUUAACCAAAAGACAAAUAUUGAUAUUGUUACAAAAUAAAAGUGCUAUUGGAAUAAAGAAUAAUUUAUUUUUUGUACAUUUGUAUUGGUUAAGGCAAACCAAGUUCACAUUUUUUUUGUCUCAAUUAUAUUUAUCCCUUCAAAAUAAUUGAUUUUCUAAAAAUUUUAAAGGAAAAAAAUCUAAAAGCAUCAUGUUCACGUGCUUUGCAUAUGCUUCAUUAGUAGUUGAACAAAAAGGAAGAACAUUUAGAUACAAAAAACCUUAGACUUGAACUUGAAAUUCACAUACUACAUUUGCAUUGAUUCCAAAUAGGGAGAACAGCUUUUGGUUUCUUUUUUAACCAGGACAAAGGUACCUGUAAGCAAAAAUAUCAUAAACAUUAAAUUCAACUAGUCAUUUUUUUCUUAUUUAAAAAGGAAAAAAUGAAACCCAUUGCAAUCACCUGAUUAAAAAACUCAUCUUAUUCCAAGUCCCUAGCCAUCUGUUCCAAAAUAAAGCAAAUAUAAAUAAAACCAAAAAUUAAGUAAAUGAAUCAGCAAUAAAAUAACAAAUAUAAAGCAAAUAUAAAUAAACCAACAACUAAAUAAACGAAUCAGUUAGAAACAGAAUCAUGGCCUUUUAUGAUGAUGAAAAUGUUAGAAUUACUGACUACACCGUAGUCAAAGAAUGUUGGAAAAAAUACAGGAGAAUAUGGCUAAAAAUUACUAAGCAAAUGAUACAAAAAGAUUUCAAAUCGUGACUCAAGAUCACUUUCCUUUAACCUUUAUUUGUGUAGAAUUUUGUAUGCAAAAAUUUUGGACAAAUAUCCUUUAGAAUAGUUUGAAAGAUGUUUAUCUUAACUAUUGCACAAAGUUAGACAAACCUACUUGAACUAUAGUGUAUUUUUCGCAAAAAAUUCUAGUAGUAGGAAAAUAAUCUUCUACAACAAACCAUCCCUACUAGACGUUUAUAGAGUUCAGAUUAAAAAUGAUCAAGAGUUGCAAUCUUUCACCACUGAUUUAUGUAUUUGUGUUUGUCAAAAGAUUUCUCAACAUCAAUACAAGUGUUCAGAUAAUUUUUUGAUGUUUAAACACCAUCUAGAUGGUAAUUAACUGUCAAGAACAUGAAGAGGUGCCAAGUAGACUUGAACAACUUCUGAACAUUGCAAGAAUCAAACAGUGACGAGUCUUAUGUCGAUCCUAAGACAGGCUCCCAUAUUGCAAUUGAUCAAAUUUUAAAAAUAUCCAACAAUCCCCCGUCAUUUUCAAAAUUUAGAAAAUACACUUCCAAAUGUCACAGAAUAAUUUGACAUUCAUAUACAUAAAUAAUGGUGUCUUUCGAUUGAAUCACUAUUUUAGUGAAGGUUUUUUGAAACUAAUCAAUACAAAAUAGUAGACCAACUUUGAACCACUUGUACAUAGAUUAGUCUCAUAAACGCAUCACACAUAGAUCAAUCCAUAACCAUAUGUUCUUUGAUAAUACAUUUUAUAACCUUAUAUCACUAUCCUUUCAUGAAUGUUUCAAAGAAAAAUCCUUAACUUUGUAGUUCGCCAAACUUACAUUCAUAUAGGUAACAUUUUAAUGCUCUCGCCAUUAAUGGCACUUUCAAGAUUCAUUAAGAGUCAAUGAGUCAAUCUAACUGUAAUCAGGUAAGAAUAAAAUGCAUUAUUUUGCCUUGGGAUGAAGAAUGAUAUAGUACACCAACCAUUAGAAUGAUGUAAAUUCACUCGUUGAAUUCAACACUAGAUGUUGUAUCUAGUGUUGAAUUGAGAUUUCGCCAUUAAUGGUCAUUAGGUUUGGACUUUAAACCCAUCACUUUUGAUGUUUUUAAUACAAAAUCUUUUGAUAAUUCUUUCGUUAAAGGAUCACUCAAGUUUUGACUAGAGUUCACAAAGUCAAUGGAUAUGACUCCAUUGGUGAUCAAAUCUUCCACAUAACUAUGUUUCAAACCAAUAUGUCUUAAUUUGUCAUUAUACACUUGAUUAUAUGCCUUAAAAAGUGUAGUUACACUAUCGCAAUGUACUGAGAUAAGCGACAAUGAUUUUGGUCACAAUGGUAUAUCAUAAAAUAAAUUUCGUAAUCAUUCAACUUCUUUACAAGUUGAAACAAGUGCUAUAAACUCAACUACUAUUGUUGAAUCAGUGGCACGUGUUUGUUUCUUAGAACCCCAAGAAACCGCGCCACCACCUAACAUAAAGAUCCAACUAUUCGUUGAUGGGUGAUCAUCUUUAUUAGUGAUCCAACUAGUAUCUGAAAAUCUUUCUAAAAUUGAAGGAUAACUGGUAUAAUAUAUACCAUAGUUCUUGAUGGCUUUCAAGUACUUCAAAAUUCUGAUUGCACCUUACCAAUGUAACCUAUUAGGAUUACUUGUAUAUCUACUUAAUAUAUCAAUAGCAUAUACAAUAUCCGGUCUAGUAUAUGUCAUUUCAUAUAUUAAGCAUCCUAUAACUUUGACAUAUUCUAAUUAAGAAAUUGGAUUCCCUUCAUUUUUUACAUAGCUAAUUUUGUGAUCCAAUGGCAUUGAAACUGGUGUUGGAUUCUUAAUCCAACAUUGGACUUAUAUGUGAAUAAUUAUGUAUUGCAAACUGUCAAUUAAGGUUAAACCCAAUUAAAGUGAUCAAAUAUAGUUUGGGUUUAAUGUAUCUAAUAGGAUGUGGAUCUUUAAUGUGUAGAGACUUUAGGGCUCCUAUUUCUAUAAUGGGCUGAAAUAGGGCUCCAAAAGGUAACAAAAUGUUACCUAUAAAUAGGGUUAUGAUCCCCAGGUCACAGGUAUCAUUUUAGUUGUCGUAUUUCCUAAUACCACAAAAUAGCUCUUCCCUGAUAUCCCAUCGUCAGGAAAGAUACCAGAGAGAAACUAAAGGCUUCUCUCAAAGGAUCGGUGAAUACCUGUUGACCUGGAAGGCCAUCCCAAAAUCUCUAGAGAUUCAAGCGUCAAAUUUAUUAAUAUGGAUUCAGGUACGCUUCCGCUAUUUUAUAGUUAAUUUAUUUCUUAAUAAUCGCCAUAUAGAUUUUGUGGUUCAAAGGUGAUGGUUUUCACCAAUGGUUAAAUUUAGAUAACCACCCUAAUAAGUGGUAUCAGAACCUAUAUGGUUGAUUGUUAGGAAAUAAUUUGUGGUCUUUGAUAGUUUUAUCUUAAAGAUUGUAAAUUAUGAAUGGUGUCCUACUCCUGUUUCUGUUGUAAAGAAUCGGUCAGAGAAAAAAAAAAAAAAAAAAAGGGGUUUUGCUUGUUCCGAAAAAAUUGGCCAAUUGUUGUGAUUCUUAAGUUUAUUUGUAUCCAGUAGGUUUGUUUGAUAUAAUGGCCGAUUGACCUUUACAUCUGGAGUAUUUGACUUAGCAUACUAUGACUACUUGGCACAUAUUUCGGGAUCUUAAUUAAUUGUGUAGUAGUUACCCUUUUCUUAUCUCAAAUAGAAAGCCGAAACAGAAAGCAAAAACAUGCAAGACCAUGACUUUCUAGUGGGUCAUUGUCUUGCUAUGCUAAAAGCCGAAAGCCAGAAUAGUUUCUUUUGCUGUGACUUUUCAUUACGUCUUUGGUUAUUUGUUGUGAUGUUUAGUUGACCGAUUCAUUGUCUAUGAAUCCAAAUUGAUAUUCAAUAUGAUCCCUUGUAGCUCAAUUGUUUAUAAUUGGAUUCUUUGGCUGGUUUCCUUGCUCAUCGAUAUUUAUAUUUAUGUUAAAGAAAUUAGGGUUUCUUUAAUUUAAGUGAACCCUAAUAAAGUUAGAUAAGAUAUUUAAGCCCUAUUAAAGUUCAUAUAUUUGGCCCAUUAAAUAUAUAGUUUUAUAAAGUGCUUAUGGACUUCAAGAAUAAAUUGGGCUUGAAUAAUAAAUUGGGUCAAAUUAUGGAUAUGAACCUUGGAUCCAAUAAGUUUUGAUCCAAUUGAUUGGUUUGAUCAAAGUUGACCAAAGUUGACUUUGAUCAAAAUUUUUUAUUUAAUUUGGAUAAUUUUAAAUUUGAAUAUUGGUAUGAUUAUAUAUAUUUUGGAAUAAAUUAAUUGAAAUAAUAUGCCACCAAAGUGACCUCUAUUAUAGAAAUUAAUUUAUUUUAAAAUAUAACUAGUUGGGUACUAGUAAUUUUAUGAAUAUUGAUUGGCCCAAAGGAAGGUCAAUAUUUAAUGAAGUUACAUGUGCACUUGUGGUAAUAAAUACAUGAUAAUUAUUUGAAUUUUACAUGUGAUUUAUAAAUUGGCCCAAAGAAAAAUUUAUUUUUGACAUGUUAUUAUUAUCAGUAUUUAUUACUGCACCAAGAUAUCACUUAGAAAUUAAUAUUUUUGUCCAAAGAUAAAAUAUUAAUGGAAUAUCGAUAUCUUGAGAUGGGGUUACCUUUAUUUAAAUUUAUUAUUAUUUUGGUUUAUGUGAGUUUGUUUUAAUUAUUUUAUGUUUUCUGUUCAGUUGUGAAUGAUCUUACAAAUAUUACUUCCAACAUCAAUAAUAUUCCUAUGUUGAAUGGCACAAACUUCAAGUCCUGGAAAGAAAAUCUCUUGAUAGUAUUUGGAAUAAUGGAUCUCGACCUUGCGUUAAGGAUUGAUUCUCCCCCACCUCUUACAGAUCAGAGUACCUCUGAUGAAAAGAGAAAUAAUGAAAGGUGGGAGAGAUCAAAUCGCUUGUGUCUGAUGAUCAUUAAAAAGGCCGUUCCAAAAGCAUUCAGGGAAACAAUGUCAGAAACGACUGUAGCCGCUAAAGAGUUCUUUCAAGACAUUGAAAAAAGGUUUGUCAAGAAUGAAAAGGCUGAAAUUAGUACGCUCUUGACACGCCUAAUUUCAAUGAAAUAUAGUGGUAAAGGCAAUAUCAGAGAGUAUAUCAUGAAAAUGUCUCAUCUUAUUUCGAAAUUAAAUGCACUUAAGUUGAAACUCUCUGAAGAGUUACUAGUGCAUUUGAUUUUAAUAUCUCUUCCUACACAGUUUAACCAGUUUAAGGUGAGUUAUAACUGUCAAAAGGAGAUUUGGUCUCUAAAUGAACUCAUCUCACACUGUGUAGAGGAAGAGAAAAGGUUGAAGUAAGAGCAAACAGAAAGUGUCUAUCUGGUGUCAACCACUAAUAAUAAAAGUAAGGGAUUUAAAAGAAAGAAGGAAAAAAGAGCUGCAGGUACAGCGCCACCAAAGAAACAACAAAAGAAAUCAAAUGAUCAGGGAAAGAAUAGUUUUUUCUUCUGUGGAGCUGAAGGACAUCAAAAGAAGUAUUGCACCAACUAUCACGCUUGACGUGCUAAGAAAGGUAUGCUUUUUAAUUUGGUUUGUUCUGAGGUUAAUUUAACUUCGAUAUCUAGACACACAUGGUGGUUAGAUUCUGGUGCAACAACUCACAUCAGUGUGUCUAUGCAGGGUUGCCUGAAUUGCCGAAAGCCUAAUGAUAAUGCAAGAUGUAUCUACGUGGGCGAUGGCAAAACAGUUCAAAUUGAGGCAAUUAGAGUUUUUAGAUUAUUGUUAAAAAUCAGAUUUUAUUUGGAUCUCUAUGAGACAUUUGUUAUACCGUCUUUUAGAUGAAAUUUAAUUUCUAUUUCUGCUUUGGACAAAUUUAGUUAUUUUUGUUCAUUUUGAAAUGAAAAAUUUGAAUUGUUUCAUGAUUCAAAAUUGAUUGGUUCUGGUUCUUUAAUGUAUUACGAUAAUCUAUAUUUAAUUGAUACGAUCGCCUCAUUUAAUGAAUCUCUGCAUUUGAGUACUAGAGGAGUUAAAAGAAAAUUAGCCAAUGAGAAUUCAACUGCAUUAUGGCACAAGAGAUUUGGACAUAUCUCCAAACGGAGAAUGGAAAGGUUUGUGUUAAAUGAAAUUCUCGACCCCUUGAAUUUUACAGAUUUUAAUGAUUGUAUUAACUGUAUAAAGGGGAAACAAACCAAUAAAAGGAGAUUUGAAGCCAAUAGGUCCUUAGACGUCUUAGAACUUAUACAUGCAGAUAUUUGUGGACCAUUUCCUACAUCUGCUUGGAAUGGUCAACAAUAUUUUAUAACGUUCAUAGAUGAUUUUUCAAGAUAUGGCUACAUAUAUCUCAUUUCAGAAAAAUCACAGUCACUCUUGACGUGUUCAAAACUGAAGUUGAGAAUCAACUCAACAAAAGAAUUAAAAGCUCCAGAUCUGACCGUGGUGGUGAAUACUAUGGUAGAUAUGACGGUUCAGGUGAACAACGUCCAGGACCAUUUGCUAAAUACCUAGAGGAAUGCGGUAUCGUCCCACAGUACACUAUGUCGGGUUCACCCACUAUAAAUGGUGUAACUGAAAGAUGAAAUAGAACGCUUAAAGACAUGGUAAGGAGUAUGAUUUGUCAUUCUACUUUACCAGAGUCACUUUGAGGAUGUUGAGUUUGGGGAAGAAAAUACAGUAAGGGACAUUGUCUUUAAAGAGGAAUACAUUGAUAUUCCCAUAGGUGUCAUUGCUCUUGCUCAGGACCCUAUUCCUGAACUUGAUCAUGAUAUAACAAAUCAAGACAAUAUCGAAGAGCAAACUGUUAUAGAAGAACAAACUCUUCCUCUCCAAGAACCAGUGCCAUUAAGAAGAUCCACUAGAGAAAGGAGAAGUGCAGUGCCAGAUGAUUACAUUAUUUUUCUCCAAGAACAUGAGAAUGACUCUGGAUUGAUGGAAGAUGAUCCAAUCAACUUCCGUCAAGCCAUGGAAAGUUCAAAUUCUCAAAAGUGGAUCGAUGCUAUGAAUGAGGAGAUUAAAUCCAUGAAGAACAAUGACGUUUGGAAUCUUGUCCCAUUGCCAGAAGGAGCGAAAUCCAUUGGUUGUAAAUGGAUAUUUAAAAUCAAAAGAGAUUCGAAAGGCAAUGUGAAAAGAUACAAAACUCGUCUUGUCGAUAAAGGAUUUACACAAAAAGAAGGUAUCGACUAUAAAGAAACCUUCUCUCCAGUCUCUUUAAAGGACUCUUUUAGAAUUUUCAUGGCACUAGUGGCGCAUUUCGAUCUUGAUUUACAUCAGAUGGAUGUAAAGACAGCGUUUCUCAAUGGUAACAUUGAUGAAACGAUUUAUAUGGUGCAACCAGAAAGUUUUGUAUCAGGAGAUCCAAAAAAUAUGGUUUGCAAACUUAAAAAAUCCAUCUAUGGGUUCAAACAAGCGUCUCGACAAUGGUAUUUCAAAUUUCAUCAAUUGAUCACCUCAUUUGGUUUUGAGAUGAAUUUAGUAGAUGAUUGCAUAUACCAUAAGUUCUGUGGGAGCAAGCAUAUUUUUCUGGUAUUGUAUGUUGAUGACAUUUUGCUUGCCAGCAACGAUAUUGAUCUAUUGCAUGAAAUCAAGAAAUUUCUGACUAAGAAUUUUGAGAUAAAAGAUCUUGGUGAUGCAUCUUUUAUGCUAGGUAUACAAAUAUACCGAGAUCGAUCUCAGGGUAUUUUAGGAUUAUCACAAAAGGGCUAUAUCGAAAAAUUUUUCAAAAGAUAUGCCAUGCAAAAUUGUAAAUCAAGUGACACUCCCGUGGCUAAAGGAGACAAAUUUAUUCUUGAACAGUGUCCUAAGAAUACUUUUGAGGAAAAAGAGAUGCAAAAGAUUCCUUAUGCAUCAGCAGUAGGGAGUCUAAUGUAUGCUCAAGUAUGUACGCGUCCUGAUAUUGCGUACAUUAUUGGGAUGUUGGGUAGAUAUUUGAGUAAUCCUGGAUUAAAUCAUUGGAAAGCAACCAAACGGGUCUUACGGUAUUUACAGAAAAUAAAAGAUUACAUGCUCACGUGUCGGAAGUCAAAUGAGUUAGAGAUCGUUGGGUAUAUUGAUUCCGACUAUGUUGGAUGCCAAGAUACUAUGAAAUCAACGUUAGGUUAUGUGUACUUGUUGGUUGGAGGUGCUAUAUCUUGGAAGGAUGCUAUAUCCUGGAAUAGUGCUAAACAGUCCCUCAUAGCAUCUUCCAUUAUGACUGCAGAGUUUAUAGCUUGUUAUGAGGCAUCCAAUCAAGGAAUUUGGCUGUGAAAUUUUGUCACAGGAUUACGUGUAGUGAAUAGUAUUGAACAACCUCUCAAAUUAUUUUGUGACAAUAAAUCAGCAGUCUUAUAUUCCAAUAAUAACAGGAGUUCGACGAAAUCUAAACAUAUAGAUAUCAAGUUCCUGGCUGUUAAACAAAGAGUACAGAGUGGACAGUUAUCGAUAGAGCAUAUCGGGACAAACUCCAUGGUUGCGGAUUCGCUUACUAAGGGAUUGUCACCCAAAAUGUUUUAUGAGCAUACUACUCAUAUGGGUGUCGUGUUAUUAAAUGAUGUACAGUUUUAGUGGGAGCUUGUCAUUUUAAAUGCUCUUAUGAUAUUUUUCAGUUAUUAAGGAUUUAAGGAUAUUUUAUGCAUAAAUAAAGUUUGGAUUUAUUUACACUCUGACUUUUGUAUGGUUUGAUCUCAUGAAAAUUUAAGGUGGACCAGUUGAAAAUAGGCAUGUUUUGAUCACAUUACAUGAAAUUUUCAUACUACACAUUCACAUCAUGAUUCAUGUCAUUCAAUUGCAUCAAUGUAUGUGACCAUUGAUGGGUCGAGUUACGAUAUUGUAACAAAGGCCGCUUUGAUCCUAUAUUGGUGUAAUUGAUGGACCGAAUUGGUUACAGAUACAUUGUGAUAAUGACAGUAAAGUUGAGCUCAUACGGUUAAUUGCAAAACAUAAUUAUAAGGUUACACAUAUAGUCCAAGUGGGAGAUUGUUGGAUCCUUAAUCCAACAUUGGACUUAUAUGUGAAUAAUUAUGUAUUGCAAACUGUCAAUUAAGAUUAAACCCAAUUAAAGUGAUCAAAUAUAGUUUGGAUUUAAUGUAUCUAAUAGGAUGUGGGCCUUUAAUGUGUAGAAACUUUAGGGCUCCUAUUUCUAUGAUGGGCUGAAAUAGGGUUCCAAAAGGUAACAAAAUGUUACCUAUAAAUAGGGUUAUGGUCCCCAGAUCACAGGUAUCGUUUUAGUUGUCGUAUUUUCUAAUACCACAAAAUAACUCUUCCCUGAUAUCCCAUCGUCAGGAAGGAUACCAGAGAGAAACUAAAGGUCUCUCUCAAAGGAUCGGUGAAUACCUGUUGACCUGGAAGGUCACCCCCAAAUCUCUAGAGAUUCAAGCGUCAAAUUUAUUAAUAUGGAUUCAGGUACGCUUCCGCUAUUUUAUAGUUAAUUUAUUUCUUAAUAAUCGCCAUAUAGAUUUUGGGUUCAAAGGUGAUGGUUUUCACCAAUGGUUAAAUUUAGAUAACCACCCUAACAACUGGCACACAAUCACUUUGAUUGUUGGCUUCUCUUGCUACCUUGAGACUUGUUAGAUUGCCUCUCUUCAAUCACAUGUACUUUUGUAAUAGAGUCUUUAUAUUCUUCAAGGGUCUUGAUGAUGAGGGAACUUUUGGUCCUACACUGACAAUGUAUACACUGUCAGCGUUGGAUGAAAAAUCUAUUUUGAUAACUACCCACUACCAAUAUAAUUUUUUACCAAGUAAUAUGUAUUUUUUCUUAUUAUAUUUUUCAACUUAUUCUUUAAAUAUUAAUUUUAAUUAGCAACUACCAAUUAUGGAAUUAUAAAUAUAACAUAGAUAAUUAUAAAUUAUAUAUAUUAUUAUAUAUUUUUUACAUAUAUAAUUAUACUCAUAUAUGCGUCGGGUUUUAAUCAAAUUUGAGUCUAGUAUGAUCCAAACUCGACUUACAUUUAGUUCGAACCUAAUAUUUGAACCCAAACUCUGUCCGGCCUAAUUAAAAAUUUAAAACAUAGGCUCAGUGAUCUUUUUUUUAGCCUAACGGGCCAAACUCGAACUAAUCCGAUCCCAUUGACAGUCCUACUCAAAAUCUCGCUCUUAAAGCCUCCACCUAAGUCGUUUGCUAAUACUGAGUUUGUUUGGAUUGCAUAUUAUUUAUCAAAUUUUAUUUGCUUGUAUCAUCAAUAUAUUUUUUUAAUCACCUUUUAUUUUACAUAUAUCACAUCAAAUUAACUUGAUUAACCUAGAUUAAAUAUAUUGUGCUAAAAAUUGACUUCGUUGAAGUGCAUGCUACUAUAUCUUUUCUUAAAUCAUCACACACAAAAAGCUAGUGAAGAAAGCAGCCAUAUGCAUGCAACAAAUAUUUAUAGUAUAAUUCCUUACAUUUUUUUCCUUUUUCCUUUUUUGGUUAUCGAAAUGCUUUGAUGAAUUAGUACUAAAGCUACAUAUGACAAAUGAAUAUUCGGUACUAUACAUCUUCUUAAAAGAAUAAAUAAUUUGACAAUAAAAUUGAAAGUGUAAGUUUUUUAUACACUGUCAGUGUAUAAUUUUUUUUUUCAUACUAGCAAGUUUGGAUCACAUCACAUAAUAUGAAUUUAAAUUAUGCACAUAUAAAAUACAUCAAUAGUUGUGAUUGCGAAAAAUCACUACAAAGGAUAAUCCUAACUGAAAUGUGCAAUAAACUUUUCUAAAAAUCCUUUGGCAAAUUUUAUCUUUUUAUAGAAAAUAAAACUCGACACAACAGAGCACCAACCCAAAAACAAAAACAAAACAAAAAAAAAACUCAGAUGGAAUACUCAUGAUGUUUUAGUAAUUUUUUAUUCUUAGAUUAGAGAUAGUACAAGACGACAUGCAUUAUUAGUAUGGCAAAUGGGGAAAAAUACCAAAAAAUUAACCUUUUUAAAUGGGUAAAUCAGCAAAUUCUUUAUACUCUUCAAAAGAAAUUGAAAAAAAAGGUAAAUAAGCCCCAUAUUACCCACAAGUCCAAACCGGCCUUCUUCAUCUUUUUCUUCCAGAAAAAUCAGCCAUGGCGAGUGGCUCCAGAAAACAUUUUCAAUUCCAUUUCUUCUUUUUAUUAGAGACCACAUUCUCAUCCUCUACCUAUAGCGAGUUCAGUGGCCACUUGGUGAAUUUUCUGUUUGCAAACAUGGAGGAACUUUCAUAUUCUUCCGCACAAUCUUGCAUGUUAAAUAAUAAUAUGUAUUGAAACAUCUAAGGAAUAUUGAAAAUGACAACAAAAUCCACAAUCUAAACCGUUAACUUCAUCAACCAAAUAGCAGGAUUAAAAAAAUGAAUUGUAGAAUUUCUCAGCUAGGGAAAUUAGCACGUCCGCAUAUAAAACUUUUUCCCAUGGGAAUAAGCUUCAGCACAGCAGGGAACAGUUCUGAAGCAUAAAUGCUCAAGAUAUUCUGAAAGAAGCUAACAUAAAUCUACUGAGACAAUGGAUGACAAGUUUAUAGUAUACUCCAAGGGACUAGAAGAGCUUAAUUCCAAUUCAACAUUGUUCUUUUUCAUUUUAACCCCCCAAGAAUUUAGCUCAUUUGCAAAUUAAUACACCUUCACAAUUUUUUUUUCUUUUUUUUUGUGAAGAAAUAUUACAUCUAAACACUUUUUUUGCCCUUUUUCUUAUCAAGAUUUGCAUAGAAAAGACACCUCUUUGCUCAACAUUUUCAAUUUGUCACCCCACCCUCAAUUAAAAAAAAAAAAAAUCCAUAUUCAGGUGAACCCUAUUUACGCAUCCGCAUGAAGACCAAUUCCAAAUUCUGCAUCCUUUAGACACUUUAUUCUACUCUAUGUCGCUCGCCAAAUAUGAAAUAAAUUUUAGGCCAAAACAAGCAUGAGAGGUGAAAGGAAAAGUAAAUUAUGAAACAAUUGGUCCUGGUUUCUCCCAUUUGCACCCAAAGAACGCCAAGGGAAAAAAUUACAAGCAAGAUCAUGCUCAAACAGGAGAACUUUGAUGCUUGAAAUCUGAGAUAGAUGCACACGAGGAUGACAAAAUUACAGCAGUAAACGAUGAAGAUAUGUAGACAAAGUUUGAAAAGUUUGAACCAAUUACAGUAGCAUUCUAGUACAACUGAGUUACUAUGGUUAUUAAUUAUAUUAAAAUGGAUGGAGGCAAACAACUGAAGUCAAUAAUACAUGCUAUAAUUACGUUUUUAUUCUCUCGUGUUUUGCCCAAGCGUCUAGCCCUGUUUAAGUAAAGCAGGCAGCAGUUAGAUAGAAGCAUCAAGGGAGACAUCUGCAUCACUGUAUUCUGGUACCAGAUUCCUGGAUGAAGGUGUUCCUGCAAGCACUUCUGCUUCAAUGCCGCACUCAUUUGUUCCCCGUCUGAUCUUGAAGUAUCCGUCCUGCCAAUCAAGAAGACAGCAAAGUGAAAAAGGACCUUAUUUUGUCAGAUUAAAGCAACAACCUAAAGAACUAGAUACAGAGCUUACUUCGCCCCAGCUUCUAUUCCACUCGUUUGCAAUUAGCUGUAUCAGAAAAAGUAGUAAUUUUACUCCCUAUUCAGGAAGAGUUGCAUUGGAGAAUAAAAAAUCUCUAAGGAGAACAAAUUAAUAUACCCAGUAAUCCUCCCCGUCAUCGCUGGUACCCCAUCCAAUCAGCUUUACAGAAUGGCCACCAAUUGUACCACCUAUUGUGUGUUUGUAAACACCAGAACGAUAAUGGGCAAAGUCCUGUGUUUCACGGGAAAUAGAAGUACAGUUACAAUUUUUACAAGCAGAAAUACCCGAAGUAUGAAAUUAAACAAAUCGGGGACUGAGAAAUGAUGAUAUUCACAUAUAGAAUCUUUUAAUCUUAAGAAGUAUUUCUAGUUUCUUUCAAAAAAGGCAAUAUUUGGACAAAUAACCCAGAAAGAGACUCAACAAUUGUGGAAGCUUAGGCGUUAAGUGGAUGUUUAGUAUGUGUACGAGGGAUUUUCGUUUUCAGAAAACUCUCAUACUUGAUUUUCUCUUUUUCUAUUCCACAGGUUGUCUGUAAAAUUUACAGUUGACAUCUAGCAUGUUUUCCCCAUAAUCAUAUGGAUUUUGUGUGUUGAAUUUGAACAUCGUACUAAACUUAACGCUCCUAACAUUUUUCCAUUUAGAAUUUAAUAGUUUAACAAUCUUAACUCACAAAUUUCAAAUGCUAGACGCACCUGAUACACUAAAAACUAAUUAGGACCGGCAACUUAGAAAGUAUAUGUUUUGGAAUAGUCCAGUCUAGAAUAGCCAAACCAGUAUACAAAUACCAUAAUUAAGACCCAAGCCAUUACCCAACUUUAUGUCUAUUGUCCAUACAUUAUAGAUUUACUUUUAUAUGUGUGUUAAUAUUGCUCAUCUGCAUAUCAAUCGCAAAUUUCCCGAAUUGUUUUGAUCUAUAUUCAUGAAAUAGCAUGUUCCAUUCUUGAGGCACCCUAAACAAGACAGCAGUUCAGAUGAAAAUAGGGCAACACAUCUGCAUCUUCCGAACAGGCUUUGAAUAAAAAAGCAUCAUAUAGAGAAGCAUAUUAAAUUUCCGAAAAUAUUCGUCUAGAUAAAUAUGGAUCAGAACUUUAAAUUCCUUUAAUUUUGUCUUUACCUCAUGAACAAUGAAUGAGACCUCAACUGGUCCAUUUUUAUAUACUUCUGCCAUGAUACUCUGUGGAUCAGAACUUAUUCUGUAGGCAUUGAUGCUAAAAUGCUUUGACUUACUCCACAGCAAGUUCUCUUUAACACACUUCUUAAUGCACUUUGGGGUGGGAUAUUCACCGCAACCAGGGUGAGAACAUCCAGUGUUAUCAAAGUAAGGGUCACACUGCGAUAAAAAAAUUCAAAACCUGAGAUUCAAAUUGCUAGAGAAGACUUUCAUAUAAUAAUAGAAGAAGCAUUAUUUACCUCUUCAGUCACAACACCAGAGUAUGUAAAGUAUUCCCAAGCAGCAAAAGGACUACCACCAUAACAGCCAUCACCACACGAGAAGCCACAGCACGCAAGGACAUCGUUAACAGAAAGUGAAACAUUCUGCAAAACAACAACUACAUCCCUUUGGUCUACAGACAUAAGAAAAAAAGUGUGUAAAUUUUGUUCAUCAUGACAGUGUUUUACCAUGCCAAACUGUAUGCAGAAACGAUCAGAGAGUGAUUCAACCGCACCAAAUGCCCAACAAGAACCACAAUGUCCCUGACAAACCAACAUGUAAAUUGGUUUAGAAGUGGAAUUUAAUGCUUGAUCCAAAAACUGGAAGUGCAUGAAUGUUGGUAAAAUCAAGUCACCUGAUCUUGAGAAUGUGAAGCCAUUUCAACGGAUUGCAUUUCAAAAGGAAAAAAUUAGCAUCUUUCAUAAACAUUAUCAGUAAAUAAAUUCAAGCAUGCAUGUGACUGACCAAGAAUUCUCCCAAUAGUGCCACAUUGAGGCCAAGCUGUUCGUGCAUCAAACUGGUCGGGCAACUUCAGAUCUCUAGGAUGAGUUACAACCCGAGUGCUCUCCAGAACACCCUUUGGUGUUGGUUUGACUCCAAGAAGAUGCUUAAAUUGGCCAACCUGUCAAGAAAUUACAAGUAUAUUUACAAAGUUUCCUUCUUCUUUCUUUUAUGUCAAAGUGGAGGCACAUGUAUCUAUUUAUCUUCUAUUUUUUCUUUCUCUCUUUCAGGGGGCAGGGAGGGUUUAAAUGUGCAUGGUGGUACUCACAGUGUAAUCUGAAAACCGAGGACUCAUUUCAGCUGUCCAUCCAGCUGUGGAAUUACUAUUAAUCCUCGCAACAAUGGAAUCCUGUAUGUUCAUUUCAUAUCAGACAACUCCAUUACAUUGUAGUUAAACCUCAAAAAAGAUGUAGGGAGAAGGCAAUAUGUCAAUUAAGCCCAAGAGUACCUGCAGAAUCUUAGAAUCAUGUUUAAGCUGAGAAUUUGAUGCUUCGGCAUGGACCUGCCACCAUAGAAGUUGCUUAAGUCAUACAGUGCAAACCAUUUUGUAUCGUGAAAGAAAGUUAAUGUAGUGCCUCUCUCUCUCUCUCUCUCUCUCUCUCAAUUGAUGGUUCCGCAUAAACCUGCUUACCACAGAGGUUGAAUGAGCCAUACAAUGUAAACAUUUUAUAUUGUUAACAAAGAUAACGUAGCAGUCUCACUCUCUCUCACACAUAUGAUGCUUCUACAUAAACCUUCUUACAGAGAGGUUGUAUAAAUUAUACAAUGUAAAAACCAUUCUAUAUUGAGAAAAAAAGUUAAUCCAGCUAACGUAGCCUUCUCUCUCUCUCUCUCUCUCUCUCUCUCUCUCUCUCUCGAUAUAUAUAUAUAUCUCUCACAUAUGAUGCUUCCGCAUAAAUCUUCUUACCACAGAGGUUGUACAAAUUAUGCAAUGUAAACCAUUUUGUACUCUCCCUCCCCCCUCCCCCCCAACCCAAGAACUGUAGAGCUUCAGAACCUAAGGUCAUAGUGAGAUAAGUAAAUGAUCCUAGGUCAUAAAAGUCCAUGCAACCGAUGACUGUUAAGUGUCAGCCCAGGAAAAGAGUAUGACGCAGGGAAGCAAAAAGGAUAAGAAUCAAAACUAGCAUCCAGACAAUUUACAUUAAUGCAGCAUGCUGAAUUAGUGAUUUUAUGACUUGAAGGACUAUUUUCUUUCUUUUAUAGCAUGUUUCUUAAUGUAGCUUUAACAAGAAGCUAUGGAAUAGAAAGUCCUGAGGUACAGUGAAUGUAGGUGCUCAAGGUUACAGCGGUACUUUUCACUUUCCAGCUUCUUUAUCUCAAACAAGAAUGAGCACUGAUGUAUAAAACUAGCAGAAGCAUAAUUUGAAAGAGAAAAUGCUAAACAAGCUUUAAUAAUGCUAGAAAAGUUACUUUGGCUUCUACAGUUUCAUCAUAAAUGUGCACAAAAUCAUAUUUGAAACCAAUAUAAAGGUCAAAAUUUUCUCUUCUUAAGAAUGUCCAAUAUUAAGAGAUAAGAAAAAUAAACACAAAAUAACUGACCCGUUGACAACGUUUAAAAAAAGAAAAGUUACUAAGGAGAUUGAUGCUGGCCAAGUUGAAGGCUACUAACUUAUUCUUGUUGGAUUCCAUUUAAACCCAAAGAAAAAUGCUUUUGCAUUCUCUUUUUGGUAUCGGUGCACAAAAGUGACAGAAGUUUGUUGGCAAAUUGCAGUAGGAUACAACAACAAAGGAUGAGAAGUAAUUCUAAAGGCAGCCCUACACCUACUAGUGACUCAACUAGAAAAGACUUCAAUCCAAUUUCCAAAGGAAGAAGAUUUCACCAGGAUAAAAAAUUGAUCCCUAUACACUAAUGGAAUCAGCUUCUCUCCAAUAGAACCAAAAUAUGACAAUCAAAAUGGAUAGUCAAAAGAUCCUCCCUUGUUCAAGUUUCCAAAAAUCCUAGUGAUUUACCUUCAUGAGCACAAGUAAAGAUGUAUCAUGUGUGACAUUCUGUCUGAAACAUUGACUAAUCAAUCAUUCGUUUGAGAUAACAAGGAAUCAGAUAUUCACAGUUAUGUCAGUGCAUAUUGAUAAUUUGCCAAAAAGGAAGAAGUGAUAAUGGAACUGCAGUUUAGUAGAUAAAAAGUUAGCUAGAAGCCUGAAAACAUUGCCCUUUUUUUUGGCAACAAGGGGAAAGGAACUUGAUUAACGCUGAUACAUCCAUCAAUGCUUAUGUUUCUUAGAAAUCAAUCCUUUUAACAAUGUCUCGUAAUCCAGGAUGACACGGUAAAAUUCCAAAGAACAGCAGCAAAAAUCACAAAAUGAUGAUACUAAACAAACCUCCAGCUGGAAAGUUAGCAUAGCACCAAAAAGUAGUAGGGCCGUGAUGUAAAUCCCAGCCAUGGCCGUUUCCUUACUUGAAGCUGUUUCUAAACUUGAAUCCGCUGACACUCUGGUUCAAAGUUUAAUUUGUUCAACUGCUCAAACAGCCCAUGGAAAACAACAAAUAGGUAAGCAUGACUUUAACUAAAUACACGGAAUUAGCAUACAAGUAAUGUUAAGAAUUUUAGAAAUCAACCAAAAACAUUGCACAUUCAUCUUCUGCUGCUGUUGCUGCUUCUUUUUUGUGAAAAAUAAUGCCUCAUAAGCAUGAUACCAUUAUUAAAAGCAAACUCAUAUUAAUUCUCAAAAACAACAUAACCAUCAACUCCUGUAUUAUAAUUAGUAAGUAUCACCUGAAAUAGAAAACCAAAUUCCACCUCAUAUCUAACCAAGACCAAACAGAAUAUCAAUAUGGAACAGUCCAGACAUAUCAUCUCAAGAAUUAAACAGAAGCAAAUAACCAAGUUCUACUUUUGACAAUAAAUACGACCUUAAAAGAACAUGACAACCUAAUUCCACCACUAGCAAAAUAUAGCCAAAGCAAGUAUCGAUCCAAAAAGAGAAAAAAUUGAUCUUUGACUAACGCAUAUGGUUCCAAUGACGCGUUCCUCAUAGUUUGUAGGAUAAUACUUCAUCUUAACGUACACCACAAUCGACCAAAAUCAUCACUAGAAUCUUAAAAAUAGUUCGGCCCUUUGGUCAAACUGGGAAACUUGAAUCACUAAAUUCUACUACAUCUUUCAAGAAUUGCAGAAAAAUAAAAUUACCUCCCAAAGAAAAAACAAAAAACUUUUUCCAUUUGCUUGAUUGUCAUAGCUUCAUACUUCAAAAUUCCAAAAAAGCCAAAAAGUAAAAAAGAAGAGUAAAAGAAGCAAAAAAGAUGAGAUAUAUUACUUUUAACAAAAAGAUUUGAAUACAAAAUCUGAUUUUUUCUGUGCAAGAAUAUUAAGCAAAGGAGAAAAUGAGUAGGCUAAUGAGAAGAACAUACCUAGGAGAAGGUGAUAAUUCUCCCUUGUCGGAAUGAGGGGUUGACGAUGAAAGUGGUAGAGAAGUGCAAGAGAGACAAGGCACUGGGAGAAAGUAGUGGCCCUUUGGCCCCUUUUAAUCUAUCUUGCAGAAAUUGGGUCGCAGAUGGGACGGGAUGGGGUGGCGCCAUGGUGGGUGGCAAACAUUUGACUGUUGGGAGCGGGAGGGACCGCAGCAUUUAACUAUCCGGUACGAAUGGAUGAAGCUAAUUGGUGAAGCGCAUGUUACACAUUUUUUCACUAAUCAGCGUGUUACACAACACAUAUUUUCUUCAAACUUAGCUAUCAGUUUGUCCAUUAGUUGUUUUUUCUUGUCCAAAAGUUCAAUGUGCCGUGUGGUUUCUUGAUACCUUAGUUUGAUUUAUAUGGGAAACACUUGAGUAGGUUCAGCUGGUGACACACUUGAUUUUUGUGUCUAACUUCGGCACCUUGGGUUGAGGGAAUGGAAGGUGAAGGAAAGGAGGGAAAUCGGAGGGAUUUGCCUUUUGUUAUUUGGAUUGAUUUUUAAGAAGGGAAAGGAAAGGAUAUGGAGGGAAAUGGAAGAGAAAGACAAGUUAUUUUAUUGAAUUAUAAAUUAACACAUGAUCUUUUCCCUUCCUUUCUUUUCCUUCUUCAAUCCAAACUAAAAUUUAGUAUUUCUUUUAUUUCCUUCCAUACUUAAUUCAAAUAAUAUCAAUGAAACCACUUUCCUUUACUCUCUUUUCCUUUCUUUUCUAUUAGUAUCCUGUCCCUUCCCCUUCCUUCCUUUCCUUCAAUCCAAAUGGUGAGUAUUUUUUUUGUGAAAUAUAAUUUUGCAUUUUAUACAAAAGAUUGUUCUUAUUAAGUUAAAAAUAAGAUUGUUUUGUUUUUACAUUUUUUUCAUUUUAAAAAUUUUAAAAAUUUUUCAGAAGUGCAUAGUUCUAAUUAGUUCCACAAGUAUUGCACACAACUAUAUUGAGAGAUGUUUUAAGACAAAUUAGAAGCUUGGAAUUACAUGAAAAAAUAAUAUGAUGAUAAAAAGUGAGACUUCUUUUUCCUCAAAAAAUAAAAGUGAGACGUUCAUACACUAUAAUUGUAUAGACACAAGUAUGUUUAAUCACAUAUCUAAUACCACAACAAGGAAGAAUUUUGGAGACCAAGUGAAGGAAAUUGUUUUCUUUUCUGUUUUGUCUUUACUUUGGAUUUUGGGAUGAGGUUGUUAUGUUAACUUUGUAGCUUAAGAUUCAUUUUUUUCUAGUGGUUAUGGAAAAACAUCAUCGCAUAGGAGAGAGACCAAAUCUGGUCUUUCCCCAUGGGAGGAACUAUUCUUUAUAAUUUUUAGUUUCUCUUAUUUGAACAAGAAUUCUCUUCUAGGAUUUCUUAAUAAGAGAUUCUUCUUUUUUAGGAUCUCCUUGAGAGUUUCUUCUCUUAUAUAUCUAGUGAGACUUUUAUUCUCUUCUGGAUUUUUUCUUGUGAGAGUUUUUAAAGUUUUUAUCUUUGUAAAAUUUGAGAUUUUGUAGAUCUAGAAUCUAGUUUUUUAGAUCUACAAUUUCUCCAUUAUUGUCAUAUCUAAAUUUCUCUUUGGACUUGAACCAAUUUUAAUCAGAUCUGAUUGUCAACAGACAUGCACGGAUGUAUUGGAUUACAGUGAUUCAUGUGGAUGGAAGAUAUAUAUAGAAGCAUCAAUUUUAUUUUUAUUUGUAUUGUUUUCUUAGAUCUGUUAUAUUUAUUGAUUUCAGAUCUAUAUGUAUUUGUGUCAUAUUUAUUUGAUAUAUUUUCUACCAUUAAUGCAGAUUUGUUUGAAUGAAAUUAUCUUUUCUAUUAAAAAAAAUGGAAAAAGAUCCAGCUUCGUAACAAUAAAAUUGAGGUUAUCAAUUUAAUUCCUCUUAUUCUUUUGGUAAUUUGAGAAAAGAUUAGAGAAAGUAAAGUAAAAUAGCCUUUUCUUGCUAUUUAGUUAAAUGUGACUUAUUAUAUAAAAUCUUAGCAUUGAUAUUUUCACGGAAUCUAUUAUUGUUUUUUGAGGUACAAGUAUAAAACUAUUACUGUAUUUGAGGCACAGCUAUGACAAUUUAUCCUGAUUACACAAGAUGGAUAAUCAGAGGAUGUUGUUUAUUAAUUUAGCUUCAUUUUUUUUUUGUUGAUAAAUAGCAAUUUUCAUUAACCAAUUGUUGGAAAUCAUCCUGUAUGAUUUGAUGGUAGGUUAAACAUGCAUUAGAAAUAAUGGAUUAGAUAUGUAAUUUAGUUUAAUAGAUACAAUAGAUUUGAAAAACUUUUGAACAGAUCUUGAAUACAUAACAAAUUUUCAAGUUGUCUUCUAACAAGGUUGCAAUUCCGUUCUGUGCAUGUUACAAUCAUCAAAUCUGCUAACAAUUAGAUUGAAACAUGUUCAAUAAUGACGCUGACAUCUAUUGAGAGAAAUUUAAGACCCAAAAAAUGUCAAAUCUAACAAUCAAAUUUGAAACAAAUUUCAAUCUGACAACAAAACAAGAAAAAAUAGAAAAUUCUUACUAAAAACCCCUAUGAGAAAUAGAAAUUUCUCACUAGAAAUCCCUAAAAGAGACGUAGAAUUCACCAAGAAAAUUUAGAAGAAACUUUAGAUCAAAAUUUAGAAGAAACUUUAUUUAAAAAAUUAAAUAAAACGAAAUAUAUGGAAAGGGGACCAUGUUGAUCUCCCUUGUGAAGUGGAAAGCCCUUUGAAUAGAAGAGAAAAUUGGAGAAAAUGAGCGAAUGAGAGGUUAUUUUACCAAUUUACCUUCACUUUUGUGGGAUAUAUUUUCACAUGCUUUCGUCUUAUUUAUUGUUAGAAUUAUAACUUUUAAGUUUUCUAUUGAUAAAGUUUGAAUUGAUUUUUAAUGUGCUAACAGAGUAUAUACUCUCGUAUCUAGAUGUAUGAAAUCUAACUUUAGUUUGAAUUUUAAAUAAAAAUUUUACACAUGUGAUAUACAUACAAAUCUCUUAUAGUGCAUAAAACCUAUUGAUACUAGCAUUUCUCGAAGAGUCUUGUUCACUCACUAACAAAAUUUUUCUCCCUUUUAUGAUAGAUCUAACCUCAAACACCAUUAAAUGACCACCUACUCGCACAAAACCGAUUUGGACAUGCUCCAUAGCAGCCAACAAUUCCCUCCCCUCCAACUCUCACCUUUUUCCUUUCUUCAAAUUGAGACUCCUAGUCACCAAAUUAUUGCCUUUUUACAGCAACUAGUAGAUAAACUCUCUUUCGAUUUUGAAGAAUCAAUACCGUUUACUUUUGUAAAAGCAAAGUGAGAACCCAGUGAAUUUGUAACUAGUACAGCAAGAAAUCACAGACUGAGUGAAAAGGAUAAGAUAAAAGAAGUACAAAAACAAAGAAAGAAAAAUAAUUUCAAAGAAAUAGUCAAUGAAUUCUUCUCGCUUAUGUUUGAGCUUUCAUUUAGGUUGCUAUCUUGCCUCCCUUCAGUCACAACAAAAAUCAAGAUUUGAUUAUGCUGUGGUAACAUAAGAAUUUACACGACUAUAAAUUUCCAUGACAUGCAAAUCAACCACCAAAUUUCAACUUUUGAACAAAAGACUCAGACUUGAGGUGCAAAGUUUAGCAUGAAAGGGAGAAAAUUUUUCAAAUGGACUGCCAUAGAUUUUCUUAAGAAUGCCAAUAUCAUUUGCCAAAGAUUAAUCCAUAAACAUAACACCCAAGUUAAUCAGCUCUUUCCAUAUAGCUGAAUUAUUAAAGAAUUACCAUUGUUACUCAAUUAUAUUAAAAACGAUGGAGACAAACAACUGAAGUAAAUAAUACAUGCUACAAUUACAUUUUUAUUCUCUCGCAUUUGCCCAGGUGCCUAGCCCUGUUUGAGUAAAACAAGUUGCACCUAGAUGGAAGCAUCAAGGGAGACAUCUGCCUCAUCGUAUUCUGGUACCAAGUUCAAGUUCCUGGAUGAAGGUGUUCCUGCAACCACAUCCGCUUCAAUGCCACACUCAUUUGUUCCCCG
rnacentral:lncRNA from 1 species